rnacentral:lncRNA from 1 species
GGAAACAACAUUACUUUAGGAAGAUCGAGCAGCUUCUCUGGGUCAGAGGCUGCUCUGCUGUAUCUGAGGGAAAUGCCAAUUUUAUGAUAUUUUUGGGAGGACUGCACAAGUCCCGCAGUCCAGAGGCUUAGCCACUAGCACAGCAGAUGAUACAUGCUUCAUUCACAAACGCCAGGCACUGAACCAAGUGGUGGGAGGAGUUAAUGGCAGCAUUCACAGGCCUAUUAGCCAGAGGAUUCCUUGGAUUUGGGAGGGGUAGACUAAACUAUAAUGAUUCUAAGCAAUCAUUUUUGCUGGGGUCAGAGAAGUGGACACCUAGCAGGCUGUGGUGUAGGGAGCGGGGAGAACAGAGGGCAGUGACCACUUGGCACAAGCUUGCCUCUCUAGAGAAGGACAGCGCAUAUAUACCAUCCCCAGGGAUUGUCGUUCUAGAAAUGAGUCUACAGCCACCAUGCAGCAACUGGUCAAGAACCAUAAUUACGCUGCUGCUGUCAGAAUGGCUAUAAUCAACUUUAAGAUCUUAAAUGAUAUUAAUCAAAAGAGAAAAAGAAAAA